rnacentral:rRNA from 1 species
GCGGUCUCAAGUACCUUCCCACGACGGGCAUAGCAAUAUGUCCCGCAGACGGGUGAGUAACGCCGUGGGACGUACUUUUGGUUCGGAACAACUGAGGGAAACUUCAGCUAAUACCGGAUAAGCCCUUACGGGGAAAGAUUUAUCGCCGAAAGAUCGGCCCGCGUCUGAUUAGCUAGUUGGUGAGGUAAUGGCUCACCAAGGCGACGAUCAGUAGCUGGUCUGAGAGGAUGAUCAGCCACAUUGGGACUGAGACACGGCCCAAACUCCUACGGGAGGCAGCAGUGGGGAAUAUUGGACAAUGGGCGCAAGCCUGAUCCAGCCAUGCCGCGUGAGUGAUGAAGGCCCUAGGGUUGUAAAGCUCUUUUGUGCGGGAAGAUAAUGACGGUACCGCAAGAAUAAGCCCCGGCUAACUUCGUGCCAGCAGCCGCGGUAAUACGAAGGGGGCUAGCGUUGCUCGGAAUCACUGGGCGUAAAGGGUGCGUAGGCGGGUCUUUAAGUCAGGGGUGAAAUCCUGGAGCUCAACUCCAGAACUGCCUUUGAUACUGAAGAUCUUGAGUUCGGGAGAGGUGAGUGGAACUGCGAGUGUAAGGUGAAAUUCGUAGAUAUUCGCAAGAACACCAGUGGCGAAAGGCGGCUCACUGGCCCGAUACUUGACGCUGANGCACGAAAGCGUGGGGGAGCAAACAGGAUUAAAUACCCUGGUAAUCCACCCUAAACAAUGAAUGCCACCCGUUAUGGGGUUUCUCCUAAGCCCACUACCCUUAAC